CGGCCAGACUCCUACGGGAGGCAGCAGUGGGGAAUAUUGCACAAUGGGGGGAACCCUGAUGCAGCGACGCCGCGUGGGUGAAGGAGUACUUCGGUACGUAAAGCCCUAUCGGCAGGGAAGAAGGAGGACGGUACCUGACUAAGAAGCCCCGGCUAACUACGUGCCAGCAGCCGCGGUAAUACGUAGGGGGCAAGCGUUAUCCGGAUUUACUGGGUGUAAAGGGGGCGCAGACGGCAGCGCAAGCCAGGAGUGAAAGCCCGGGGCCCAACCCCGGGACUGCUCUUGGAACUGCGCGGCUGGAGUGCAGGAGGGGCAGGCGGAAUUCCCGGUGUAGCGGUGAAAUGCGUAGAUAUCAGGAGGAACACCGGUGGCGAAGGCGGCCUGCUGGACUGCGACUGACGUUGAGGCCCGAAAGCGUGGGGAGCAAACAGGAUUAGAUACCCGAGUAAU
rnacentral:rRNA from 1 species